CCUACGGGUGGCAGCAGUGAGGAAUAUUGGUCAAUGGACGCGAGCCUGAACCAGCCAAGUCGCGUGCAGGAAGACGGUCCUAUGAGUUGUAAACCUCUUUUGUCGGGGAGCAAAAGACGCCACGCGUGUCGUUCCGAGAGUACCCGACGAAAAAGCAUCGGCUAACUCCGUGCCAGCAGCCGCGGUAAUACGGAGGAUGCGAGCGUUAUCCGGAUUUAUUGGGUUUAAAGGGUGCGCAGGCGGAAGAUCAAGUCAGCGGUAAAAUUGAGAGGCUCAACCUCUUCGAGCCGUUGAAACUGGUUGUCUUGAGUGAGCGAGAGGUAUGCGGAAUGCGUGGUGUAGCGGGGAAAUGCAGAGAUAUCACGCAGAACUCCGAUUGCGAAGGCAGCAUACCGGCGCUCAACUGACGCUGAUGCACGAAAGUGUGGGUAUCGAACAGGAUUAGAUACCCUUGUAGUC
rnacentral:rRNA from 1 species